AAGACUAUACUUUCAGGGAUCAUUUCUAUAGUUUGUGACUUGAGAAAUGUGUUUCUAAAGUGUAUGGUCUCAUUGCCCACGAUGAAGAGUUGGUGAUACUCCUUCAUGAACAUGAAGAACAUAGAGGCUUGUUUCAUCCUUGUUCUCUGCUACUGAUGACUGUUCACUGUUUCUUCAGUUGACAGUGAGGGAAGGAGUAUGAUCUGAGUGGU
rnacentral:snoRNA from 1 species